GGCGAUGUGGCCAAGUGGUAAGGCAGGGGCCUGCAAAGCCCUUAUCCCCGGUUCAAAUCCGGGCAUCGCCUCCA
rnacentral:tRNA from 1 species